CUCCAGCAUCUCGAAGCAGGCCCUCAGUGAGAUCGAGACCAGGCACAGUGAGAUCAUCAAGUUGGAGAACAGCAUCCGGGAGCUACACGAUAUGUUCAUGGACAUGGCCAUGCUGGUGGAGAGCCAGGUGAGGACCCUCGUCCCCGAUGUUGCCCUCGGUCCCAGCAACAUCCAGGGCCACACUAACCCCUUCCCUUUCCACCCAACACGCUGCCCUGCCCGGGAGGGACAGAGUAUCUUCAGGUAACCAUACUGUUGUAAGGGCCUCCAGGGAUCCCGUUGCAUGGCUCUGCUUGCUCCCCUAGGCCCUGCAUGGCCCCACCUCUCCCUCCAGCCCUGUCCUGGCUUCAUGAACUACAUCAAGGGCCACUAUAGACUGGCUGCCUUGCUUGGAACAAAAGGCAUAGCAAUGACCAUGCAUGUGCGUGUGUGCGUGGACCUUAUACUUUUGAGACAGGGUCUCUUGUUGAAUCUGGAGUUUACCAAGUCACCUAUACUGGCUAGCCAGUGAGCCACAGAUCCCCUUGUUUCCAGCUCCCAGAAGUUGGGUUACAGGUAUGUGCCACUGUACCUGACUUUUUACAUAGGCGCUGAGGACCAAAACCAAGGUGCUUGUCAACUGAGCCAUCUCAGUCCCCAUUACCUGACUUGCAAGUUUUUCCUUUCUAUUUUUUU
rnacentral:lncRNA from 1 species